AGGCUUUCGUUCCACCGGCACCACAUUGGCUCAGGCCAAUCUACACCCUGUGGCCAUUAAAAGUUAUCAAAAUCAUGACGCUGCACCCCAAGGUUUAGGUUCUAGGGGGCGCCAAAGAUAACACUAAAAUCCACAUAUUUAAAAGUCUUAUAACUUUUUAUUUUUGUCCUCACUGGCCUCCAAGUUUUCUAGGAUGAUGCAAUGUCCAGCCAUCAACACAUUUGUGAAGGAAUUUUUACUCCCCAAAAGAGCGCCCCCCCAUGGCAGGAGAAAAAAGUCAAUUUUUUCUUGUCCCCUAAGGUGAAAAUACACAUUGUUGAGUGUCACGCCUAUACGCUUUGUCAAAAUGACACAAAAAUUGACACACACAUGUAACUCAAUAAGAUCUACAAAAAAGUCCAUGCGCGCGUAUCUGUCAAAUGUACAGUUAAAGGGUUAUUCCGCAUUUUUUGCCGAUACGCACACAUUGGAAUUUCGCUAACUCCUCCGAAGGCUUUCGUUCCACCGGCACCACAUUUGCUCAGGCCAAUCUACACCCCAUGGCCAUUAAAAGUUAUUCAAAUCAUGAUGCUGCACCCCAUGGUUUAGGUUCUAGGGGGCGCCAAAAAUAACCCAAAAAUCCACAUUCUUAAAUGUUUUAUAACUUUUUAUUUUUGUCCUCACUGGCCUCCAAGUUUUCUAGGAUGAUGCAAUGUCCAGCCAUCAACACAUUUGUGAAGGAAUUUUUACUCCCCAAAAGAGCGCCCCCCCAUGGUAGGAGAAAAAAGUCAAUUUUUUCUUGUCCCCUUACAUAAAAAUACACAUUGUUGAGUGUCACGCCUGAACGCUUUGCCAUAUUGACACAAAAAUUGACAAUCAUGUGUAUCUCAAUUAGAUCUACGAAAAAGUCAAAGAGCGCGUAUCUGUAUAAUGUACGGUUAAAGGGCUAUUUUGCAUUUUUUGCCGAUUCGCACACAUUGGAAUGUGGCUAUCUCCUCCUAAGGCUUUCGUCCCACCGAUACCAAAUUUGCUCAGGGCAAUCUACACCCCAUGCCCAUUCAAAGUUGUAAAAAUCAUGACGCUGCACCCCACGGUUUACGUUCUAGGGGGCGCCAAAGAUGACCCAAAAAUCCACAUUCUUAAAAGUCAUUUUGGCCACUGCAGGAGUACAGAGUACUGCAGUUCUAGGGGGCGCCAAAGAUGACCCAAAAAUCCACAUUCUUAAAAGUCUUUUUGGCCACUGCAGGAGUACAGAGUACUGCAGGAUACACACACAUAUACACACACGCCAACAUAUACACACACACACACACACACACACACACACAGACACACACACACACUCAGAGUCUGUUUUUUAGCACCUGCAAAAACAUGCUGUUUACAUAUUUGACAAGAAUGCAGAGGCUUCCUUUUGCCCCUGAAAAAAAUCAAAUUUCAAACACAACUUGACUGUUCAUUUCUCCAAAAGACAACCAUGAAGCUCCAUUUCAAACCUGAAGCAGAUAGUUGGUGCAUGUGUACAGUAACCUGAGGGGAGUGAGGUGACUAUUUCUGAGGAGAACAUGAGCAGUGAAGAUUCACCUUGGAGCUAGAACAGGGACGUGCACAUGAUUAUACAGGGGCAGGGGCUCAAGUUUUUUCCAGUCAUUUAUACAAUAUGGAAAUUAAUGUGAAAUUAAACCACAAAUAUGUGUGAUGAACUGUUUUUAAAACUUAAACUUCAAAUAAAAAUUGUAAACUUCAAAACAUAUGCAAAUUUUUAACAAAGAACAUAGUAAUUUACCUCUAUUUACAUCAAAAUGCAGGCAAUGGCCCAGGCGUUCUUUGUAAAAUUAUUUACAAAACACUGUAUAGUCUCACAAAUGUCACUUUUUAUUUAUGCCACUACAAAAAAACAUGAUGUAAAUGAUGCAUGAUGUAAAACAUGAUGUAAAAAACUUGUGUAGAUCCUCCUCUAUGUCAGUCCAUGUGUAAUUUUUCCAUAAUUCUUUGUUUUUUGCAGCAUUUUUGUUAGUGUAACUGCAGAUUGUGCUGACAGUGUCUAUGGCAAAAAAAAAAAAAAAAACUGAAAAUGCCUCAACAUGAACCCCUGGUGGUCUCUGAGGGUGAAACCUGCUAACUGCUGCAGCUCUGUCAGCUUUAGUCUCCCAUGCAGAGCUCGGAGCGCAUGUGUGGCUCUGCACCCUUAGCAGCGUUGCUAACUCCUCAGUAAGGAAAGCCUGCUUCAUGUCAGAGUCUCUAAACUCCAGAGGAAGUCGAUAAAAUUCCCUUUCUUUCUAAAAAAAAAAGUCGUUAGGGGGUCUGAAAAGUCAUUGAAUCUAACAACAAAGUCGCUAGGUUUGCAACUACGUGUCCCAGACUGCAUCCCUGCUGAGAGUCCCUCCCUCGCUUCUCAUGUUGCAGGAAGAACGUAAGCGCCCGCCCCUUGUCAAUCAGUCACCAUAUAAUUUUGGAUUGGUUGUUGUGGUGAAGUUUUCCACCAAUAGGAGAGAUGUUGUGGUGUGUUUUUUUUUUCUUUUGGCAAGCCUUUUCCGCCUGUAAGACCUGUCGCUAAUGUCUGCAUGCUAUGUUUUCCUGUCUCAUACAGCGCGAUCGAGCGCCGAACGUGAUCAAAAUAAGCAGAAAAAAAGUAUCGCGGACAUAAUUUAUCAUAACUCUGGUUUUAUUUAUCUGCUAAGCAGCUGCGAGAGCCCUAUUAUUCCCCAAGUGGUUUUUCUUUGUUUCUUUCUUUAGGGCCCGAGCGUAGCUGCUAAGCAGCUGCGAGAGCCCUAUUAUUCCCCAAGUGGUUUUUCUUUGUUUCUUUCUUUCUUUAGGGCCCGAGCGUAGCUGCUAAGCAGCUGCGAGAGCCCUAUUAUUCCCCAAGUGGUUUUUCUUUGUUUCUUUCUUUAGGGCCCGAGCCAGCUGCAGAGCAGCCGGGCGUAGGCCCUAUUAUUCCCCAAGUGGUUUUUCUUUGUUUCUUUCUUUCUUUUUAGGGCCCGAGCGUAGCUGCUAAGCAGCUGCGAGAGCCCUCUUGUUCCUGCAUGUUUCCUUCUUUUUAGGGCCCGAGCGUAGCUGCUAAGCAGCUGCGAGAGCCCUGUUGUUCCUGAUGGAUUCUUCUUUAGGGCCCGAGCGUAGCUGCUAAGCAGCUGCGAGAGCCCUCUUGUUCCUGCAUGUUUCCUUCUUUCGUUAUUAUUUUUCCUCCGCUUUAAACUGGAAAAUGGCCCACUUCCCACUGGCAAAAACUCAGGAAAUUUGGCAGGACGACCGGGCCUGGUGAAAAAUUCGAUAUUCUGAAGUCGCCCAAACAAUAAAAUGCAAAAUGGCUCCAUAGCGCCCCCUAAGGUGAAAAUUCACAUGACGGCUGUACGCUUUGUCAUAUUGACACAAAAAUUGACACACACAUGUAUCUCAAUAAGAUCUACAAAAAAGUCAGUGCGGGCGUAUCUGUCAAAUGUACGGUUAAUGGGUUAUUUUGCAUUUUUUGCAGAUCUGCACACAUUGGAAUUUCGCUAACUCCUCCGAAGGCUUUCGUUCGACCGGCACCACAUUUGCGCAGGCCAAUCUACCCCCCAUGGCCAUUAAAAGUUGUACAAAUCAUGACGCUGCACCCCACGGUUUAGGUUCUAGGGGGCGCCAAAGAUAACCCAAAUAUCCACAUUCUUAAAAGUCUUAUAACUUUUUAUUUUUGUCCUCACUGCCCUCCAAGUUUUCUAGGAUGAUGCAAUGUCCAGCCAUCAACACAUUUGUGAAGGAAUUUUUACUCCCCAAAAGAGCGCCCCCCCCAUGGCAGGAGAAAAAAGUCCAUUUUUUCUUGUCCCCUUACAUGAAAAUACACAUUGUUGAGUGUAACACCUGUACGCUUUGGCAAAAUGACACAAAAAUUGACACACACAUGUAUCUCAAUAAGAUCUACGAAAAAGUCAAUGCGCGCGUAUCUGUCAAAUGUACAGUUAAAGGGUUAUUCCGCAUUUUUUGCCGAUCCGCACACAUUGGAAUUUCGCUAACUCCUCCGAAGGCUUUCGUUCCACCGGCACCACAUUUGCUCAGGCCAAUCUACACCCCAUGGCCAUUAAAAGUUAUUCAAAUCAUGACGCUGCACCCCACGGUUUAGGUUCUAGGGGGCGCCAAAGAUAACCGUAAAAUCCACAUAUUUAAAAGUCUUAUAACUUUUUAUUUUUGUCCCCACUGGCCUCCAAGUUUUCUAGGAUGAUGCAAUGUCCAGCCAUCAACACAUUUGUGAAGGAAUUUUUACUCUCCAAAAGAGCGCCCCCCCAUGGCAGGAGAAAAAAGUCCAUUUUUUCUUGUCCACUAAGGUGAAAAUACAUAUUGUUGAGAUUCACGCCUAUACGCUUUGUCAUAUUGACACAAAAAUUGACAAUCAUGUGUAUCUUAAUUAGAUCUACGAAAAAGUCAAAGAGCGCGUAUCUGUAUAAUGUACGGUUAAAGGGUUAUUUUGCAUUUUUUGCUGAUUCGCACACAUUGGAAUGUGGCUAUCUCCUCCUAAGGCUUUCGUCCCACCGAUACCAAAUUUGCUCAGGGCAAUCUACACCCCAUGCCCAUUCAAAGUUGUAAAAAUCAUGACGCUGCACCCCACGGUUUAGGUUCUAGGGGGCGCCAAAGAUGACCCAAAAAUCCACAUUCUUAAAAGUCAUUUUGGCCACUGCAGGAGUACAGAGUACUGCAGUUCUAGGGGGCGCCAAAGAUGACCCAAAAAUCCACAUUCUUAAAAGUCUUUUUGGCCACUGCAGGAGUACAGAGUACUGCAGGAUACACACACAUAUACACACACGCCAACAUACACACACACACACACACACACACACAGACACACACCCACACUCAGAGUCUGUUUUUUAGCACCUGCAAAAACAUGCUGUUUACAUAUUUGACAAGAAUGCAGAGGCUUCCUUUUGCCCCUGAAAAAAAUCAAAUUUCAAACACAACUUGACCGUUCAUUUCUCCAAAAGACAACCAUGAAGCUCCAUUUCAAACCUGAAGCAGAUAGUUGGUGCAUGUGUACAGUAACCUGAGGGGAGUGAGGUGACUAUUUCUGAGGAGAACAUGAGCAGUGAAGAUUCACCUUGGAGCUAGAACAGGGACGUGCACAUGAUUAUACAGGGGCUCAAGUUUUUUCCAGUCAUUUAUACAAUAUGGAAAUUAAUGUGAAAUUAAACCACAAAUAUGUGUGAUGAACUGUUUUUAAAACUUAAACUUCAAAUAAAAAUUGUAAACUUCAAAACAUAUGCAAAUUUUUAACAAAGAACAUAGUAAUUUACCUCUAUUUACAUCAAAAUGCAGGCAAUGGCCUAGGCGUUCUUUGUAAAAUUAUUUACAAAACAAUGUAUAGUCUCACAAAUGUCACUUUUUAUUUAUGCCACUACAAAAAAACAUGAUGUAAAUGAUGCAUGAUGUAAAACAUGAUGUAAAAAACUUGUGUAGAUCCUCCUCUAUGUCAGUCCAUGUGUAAUUUUUCCAUAAUUCUUUGUUUUUUGCAGCAUUUUUGUUAGUGUAACUGCAGAUUGUGCUGACAGUGUCUAUGGCAAAAAAAAAAAAAAAAUUAAAAUGCCUCAACAUGAACCCCUGGUGGUCUCUGAGGGUGAAACCUGCUAACUGCUGCAGCUCUGUCAGCUUCAGUCUCCCAUGCAGAGCUCUGAGCGCAUGUGUGGCUCUGCACCCUUAGCAGCGUUGCUAACUCCUCAGUAAGGAAAGCCUGCUUCAUGUCAGAGUCUCUAAACUCCAGAAGAAGUCGAUAAAAGUCCCUUUCUUUCUAAAAAAAAGUCGUUAGGGGGUCUGAAAAGUCAUUGAAUCUAACAACAAAGUCGCUAGGUUUGCAACUACGUGUCCCAGACUGCAUCCCUGCUGAGAGUCCCUCCCUCGCUUCUCAUGUUGCAGGAAGAACGUAAGCGCCCGCCCCUUGUCAAUCAGUCACCAUAUAAUUUUGGAUUGGUUGUUGUGGUGAAGUUUUCCACCAAUAGGAGAGAUGUUGUGGUGUGUUUUUUUUUUCUUUUGGCAAGCCUUUUCCGCCUGUAAGACCUGUCCCUAAUGUCUGCAUGCUAUGUUUUCCUGUCUCAUACAGCGCGAUCGAGCGCCGAACGUGAUCAAAAUAAGCAGAAAAAAAGUAUCGCGGACAUAAUUUAUCAUAACUCUGGUUUUAUUUGGCCUAUCAACACAAUUUAAAAACUGGUAUAUAGGUUGAGGUCCUCACUUUUGAGAUAAGUUGAAACGGAGAGUCAACGAGGCUCCGUCUUGCAGCUACAUCCGGUUAAAUAUGUCAUGUGACUUGAACGCACACAUAGACACACACACACGCACACACACACACACACACACACACACACACACUCAGAGUCUGGUUUUUAGCACCUGCAAAAACAUGCUAUUUACAUAUUUGACAAGAAUGCAGAGGCUCCUUUUGCCCCUGAAAAAAAUCAAAUUUCAAACACAACUUGACUGGUCAUUUCUCCAAAAGACAACCAUGAAGCUCCAUCCAAACCUGAAGCAGGCAGUUGGUGCAUGUGUACAGUAACCUGAGGGGAGUGAGGUGAGUGCUUCUGAGGAGAACAUGAGCAGUGAAGAUUCACCUUGGAGCUAGAACAGAGACAUGCACAUGAUUAUACAGGGGCAGGGGCUCAAGUUUUUUCCAGUCGUUUAUACAAUAUGGAAAUUAAUGUGAAAUUAAAACACAAAGUAUUAAUAGAAAGGUAAUGACUGUCCUGUGUAGGUGACAGUGAUAUCCAACGCGACACGGCUCGGGCCCGCCAGUGCCCCAACGGGGUCCUAGUUCUUCUUCUUCUUCUUAUUAUUUUUCUGCCCCUUUGAACUGGAAAAUGGCCCACUUCCCACUGGUGAAAACUCAUGAAAUUUGGCAGGACAACCGGGCCUGGUGAAAAAUUCGAUAUUCUGAAGCCGCCCAAACAAUCAAAUGCAAAAUGGCUCCAUAGCGCCCCCUAAGGUGAAAAAUUCACAUGAUUGAGUGUCACGCCUGUACGCUUUGUCAAAAUGACACAAAAUUUGACACACACGUGUAUCUCAAUAAGAUCUACAAAAAAGUCAGCGCGGGCGUAUCUGUCAAAUGUACGGUUAAAGGGCUAUUUCGCAUUUUUUGCCGAUCCGCACACAUUGGAAUUUCGCUAACUCCUCCGAAGGCUUUCGUUCCACCGGCACCAAAUUUGCUCAGGCCAAUCUACACCCCAUGGCCAUUCAAAGUUGUACAAAUCAUGACGCUGCACCCCACGGUUUACGUUCUAGGGGGCGCCAAAGAUAACCCAAAAAUCCACAUUCUUAAAAGUCUUAUAACUUUUUACUUUUGUCCUCACUGGCCUCCAAGUUUUCUAGGAUGAUGCAAUGUCCAGCCAUCAACACAUUUGUGAAGGAAUUUUUACUCCCCAAAAGAGCGCCCCCCCAUGGCAGGAGAAAAAGGUCCAUUUUUUCUUGUCCCCUAAGGUGAAAAUACAUAUUGUUGAGUGUCACGCCUAUACGCUUUGUCAUAUUGACACAAAAUUUGACACACACGUGUAUCUCAAUAAGAUCUACAAAAAAGUCAGCGCGGGCGUUUCUGUUCAAUGUACGGUUAAAGGGCUAUUUCGCAUUUUUUGCCGAUACGCACACAUUGGAAUUUCGCUAACUCCUCUGAAGGCUUUCGUUCCACCGGCACCAAAUUUGCUCAGGCCAAUCUACACCCCAUGGCCAUUCAAAGUUGUAAAAAUCAUGAUGCUGCACCCCACGGUUUACGUUCUAGGGGGCGCCAAAGAUAACCCAAAAAUCCACAUUCUUAAAAGUCUUAUAACUUAUUAUUUUUGUCCUGACUGGCUUCCAAGUUUUCUAGGAUGAUGCAAUGUCUAGCCAUCAACACAUUUGUGAAGGAAUUUUUACUCCCUAAAAGAGUGCCCCCCCAUGGUAGGAGAAAAAGUCCAGUUUUUCCUGCCCAUCGCUCAAUGGCUCAAACACAUCGCCCUCUCGGCAAAACCGAAAGGAGUAACAACUUGCCAUUUGGAUAUAUCCUAGCUGUGUUUGUGCCCUCACUCAUGGUCCAGACUUUUUUCAAAUAGGACAUGGAGUUUGUCUGCAGCGAGCGUUUUGGUAGAAACUGCGCCUCCCAUUCAUUAUAAUGGUAAAUGACCACAGACAAGUGCGCACACCAUCUUUGGACCUUGAGUGUGAUGCGAUCGGGAGGGAGAGGCGGUCGUGUUGGGGGCGGCGCGACACAGCUCGGGCCCGCCAGUGCCCCAACGGGGCCCUAGUUUUUUCUUUUUCCUCCCCUUUGAACUGGAAAAUGGCCCACUUCCCACUGGCGAAAACUCAUGAAAUUUGGCAGGAUGACCGGGCCUGGUGAAAAAUUUGAUAUUCUGAAGUCGCCCAAACAAUACAAUGCAAAAUGGCUCCAUAGCGCCCCCUAAGGUGAAAAAUUCACCUGACGCCUGUACGCUUUGUCAAAAUGACACAAAAAUUGACACACACAUGUAUCUCAAUAAGAUCUACAAAAAAGUCAGUGCGGGCGUAUCUGUCAAAUGUACGGUUAAAGGGUUAUUGCGCAUUUUUUGCCAAUCCGCACACAUUGGAAUUUCGCUAACUCCUCCGAAGGCUUUCGUUCCACCGGCACCACAUUUGCUCAGGCCAAUCUACACCCCAUGGCCAUUAAAAGUUAUUCAAAUCAUGACGCUGCACCCCACGGUUUAGGUUCUAGGGGGCGCCAAAGAUAACCCUAAAAUCCACAUAUUUCAAAGUCUUAUAACUUUUUAUUUUUGCCCUCACUGGCCUCCAAGUUUUCUAGGAUGAUGCAAUGUCCAGCCAUCAACACAUUUGUGAAGGAAUUUUUACUCCCCAAAAGAGCGCCCCCCCAUGGCAGGAGAAAAAAGUCCAUUUUUUCUUGUCCCAUAAGGUGAAAAUUCACACUAUUGACUGUCACGCCUGUAUGCUUUGUCAAAAUUACACAAAAAUUGACACACACAUGUAUCUCAAUAAGAUCUACAAAAAAGUCAAUGCGCGCGUAUCUGUCAAAUGUACAGUUAAAGGGUUAUUCCGCAUUUUUUGCCGAUACGCACACAUUGGAAUUUCGCUAACUCCUCCGAAGGCUUUCGUUCCACCGGCACCACAUUUGCUCAGGCCAAUCUACACCCCAUGGCCAUUAAAAGUUAUUCAAAUCAUGAUGCUGCACCCCAUGGUUUAGGUUCUAGGGGGCGCCAAAAAUAACCCAAAAAUCCACAUUCUUAAAUGUUUUAUAACUUUUUAUUUUUGUCCUCACUGGCCUCCAAGUUUUCUAGGAUGAUGCAAUGUCCAGCCAUCAACACAUUUGUGAAGGAAUUUUUACUCCCCAAAAGAGCGCCCCCCCAUGGUAGGAGAAAAAAGUCAAUUUUUUCUUGUCCCCUUACAUGAAAAUACACAUUGUUGAGUGUCACGCCUGAACGCUUUGUCAUAUUGACACAAAAAUUGACAAUCAUGUGUAUCUCAAUUAGAUCUACGAAAAAGUCAAAGAGCGCGUAUCUUUAUAAUGUACGGUUAAAGGGCUAUUUUGCAUUUUUUGCCGAUUCGCACACAUUGUAAUGUGGCUAUCUCCUCCUAAGGCUUUCGUCCCACCGAUACCAAAUUUGCUCAGGGCAAUCUACACCCCAUGCCCAUUCAAAGUUGUAAAAAUCAUGACGCUGCACCCCACGGUUUACGUUCUAGGGGGCGCCAAAGAUGACCCAAAAAUCCACAUUCUUAAAAGUCAUUUUGGCCACUGCAGGAGUACAGUACUGCAGUUCUAGGGGGCGCCAAAGAUGACCCAAAAAUCCACAUUCUUAAAAGUCUUUUUGGCCACUGCAGGAGUACAGAGUACUGCAGGAUACACACACAUAUACACACACACCAACAUACACACACACACACACACACACACACACACACACACAGACACACACACACACUCAGAGUCUGUUUUUUAGCACCUGCAAAAACAUGCUGUUUACAUAUUUGACAAGAAUGCAGAGGCUUCCUUUUGCCCCUGAAAAAAAUCAAAUUUCAAACACAACUUGACUGUUCAUUUCUCCAAAAGACAACCAUGAAGCUCCAUUUCAAACCUGAAGCAGAUAGUUGGUGCAUGUGUACAGUAACCUGAGGGGAGUGAGGUGACUAUUUCUGAGGAGAACAUGAGCAGUGAAGAUUCACCUUGGAGCUAGAACAGGGACGUGCACAUGAUUAUACAGGGGCAGGGGCUCAAGUUUUUUCCAGUCAUUUAUACAAUAUGGAAAUUAAUGUGAAAUUAAACCACAAAUAUGUGUGAUGAACUGUUUUUAAAACUUAAACUUCAAAUAAAAAUUGUAAACUUCAAAACAUAUGCAAAUUUUUAACAAAGAACAUAGUGAUUUACCUCUAUUUUCAUCAAAAUGCAGGCAAUGGCCCAGGCGUUCUUUGUAAAAUUAUUUACAAAACACUGUAUAGUCUCACAAAUGUCACUUUUUAUUUAUGCCACUACAAAAAAACAUGAUGUAAAUGAUGCAUGAUGUAAAACAUGAUGUAAAAAACUUGUGUAGAUCCUCCUCUAUGUCAGUCCAUGUGUAAUUCUUCCAUAAUUCUUUGUUUUUUGCAGCAUUUUUGUUAGUGUAACUGCAGAUUGUGCUGACAGUGUCUAUGGCAAAAAAAAAAAAAAAAAAUUAAAAUGCCUCAACAUGAACCCCUGGUGGUCUCUGAGGGUGAAACCUGCUAACUGCUGCAGCUCUGUCAGCUUCAGUCUCCCAUGCAGAGCUCUGAGCGCAUGUGUGGCUCUGCACCCUUAGCAGCGUUGCUAACUCCUCAGUAAGGAAAGCCUGCUUCAUGUCAGAGUCUCUAAACUCCAGAAGAAGUCGAUAAAAGUCCCUUUCUUUCUAAAAAAAAGUCGUUAGGGGGUCUGAAAAGUCAUUGAAUCUAACAACAAAGUCGCUAGGUUUGCAACUACGUGUCCCAGACUGCAUCCCUGCUGAGAGUCCCUCCCUCGCUUCUCAUGUUUUUGGAUUGGUUGUUGUGGUGAAGUUUUCCACCAAUAGGAGAGAUGUUGUGGUGUGUUUUUUUUUUCUUUUGGCAAGCCUUUUCCGCCUGUAAGACCUGUCGCUAAUGUCUGCAUGCUAUGUUUUCCUGUCUCAUACAGCGCGAUCGAGCGCCGAACGUGAUCAAAAUAAGCAGAAAAAAAGUAUCGCGGACAUAAUUUAUCAUAACUCUGGUUUUAUUUGGCCUAUCAACACAAUUUAAAAACUGGUAUAUAGGUUGAGGUCCUCACUUUUGAGAUAAGUUGAAACGGAGAGUCAACGAGGCUCCGUCUUGCAGCUACAUCCGAUUAAAUAUGUCAUGUGACUUGAACGCCCACACAGACACACACACACACACACACACACACACACACACACACACACACACACACACACACACACACACACACACACACACACACACACACACUCAGAGUCUGGUUUUUAGCACCUGCAAAAACAUGCUAUUUACAUAUUUGACAAGAAUGCAGAGGCUCCUUUUGCCCCUGAAAAAAAUCAAAUUUCAAACACAACUUGACUGGUCAUUUCUCCAAAAGACAACCAUGAAGCUCCAUCCAAACCUGAAGCAGGCAGUUGGUGCAUGUGUACAGUAACCUGAGGGGAGUGAGGUGAGUGCUUCUGAGGAGAACAUGAGCAGUGAAGAUUCACCUUGGAGCUAGAACAGAGACAUGCACAUGAUUAUACAGGGGCAGGGGCUCAAGUUUUUUCCAGUCGUUUAUACAAUAUGGAAAUUAAUGUGAAAUUAAAACACAAAGUAUUAAUAGAAAGGUAAUGACUGUCCUGUGUAGGUGACAGUGAUAUCCAAUAGGCUAGGCACUCACGAGGCUGGCUGUGGCAAGUGUAAGUGAAAGCAACACGCACUGGCAGGAAGAACAGCAAACGCCGAUGAAGGAAAAGGGUCUUUGCAGUGAUGGGCGUUACCAGAGAGGGCGAUGGCCAGAGGACACAAAUGGGACGGGGAGGCAGCACGUUGGGGGGGGGGGGGGGGGGCGCGACACGGCUCGGGCCCGCCAGUGCCCCAACGGGGUCCUAGUGUUAUUAGGGCCCGAGCGUAGCUGCUAAGCAGCUGCGAGAGCCCUCUUGUUCCUGCAUGUUUCCUUCUUUCGUUAUUAUUUUUCCUCCGCUUUAAACUGGAAAAUGGCCCACUUCCCACUGGCGAAAACUCAGGAAAUUUGGCAGGACGACCGGGCCUGGUGAAAAAUUCGAUAUUCUGAAGUCGCCCAAACAAUAAAAUGCAAAAUGGCUCCAUAGCGCCCCCUAAGGUGAAAAUUCACAUGACAGCUGUACGCUUUGUCAUAUUGACACAAAAAUUGACACACACAUGUAUCUCAAUAAGAUCUACAAAAAAGUCAGUGCGGGCGUAUCUGUCAAAUGUACGGUUAAUGGGUUAUUUUGCAUUUUUUGCAGAUCUGCACACAUUGGAAUUUCGCUAACUCCUCCGAAGGCUUUCGUUCGACCGGCACCACAUUUGCUCAGGCCAAUCUAAGGAAUUUUUACUCCCCAAAAGAGCGCCCCCCCAUGGCAGGAGAAAAAAGUCCAUUUUUUCUUGUCCCCUUACAUGAAAAUACACAUUGUUGAGUGUCAUGCCUGAACGCUUUGUCAUACUGACACAAAAAUUGACAAUCACGUGUAUCUCAAUUAGAUCUACGAAAAAGUCAAAAAGCGCGUAUCUGCAUAAUGUACGGUUAAAGGGCUAUUUCGCAUUUUUUGCCGAUUCGCACACAUUGGAAUGUGGCUAUCUCCUCCUAAGGCUUUCGUCCCACCGAUACCAAAUUUGCUCAGGGCAAUCUACACCCCAUGCCCAUUCAAAGUUGUAAAAAUCAUGACGCUGCACCCCACGGUUUACGUUCUAGGGGGCACCAAAGAUGACCCAAAAAUCCACAUUCUUAAAAGUCAUUUUGGCCACUGCAGGAGUACAGAGUACUGCAGUUCUAGGGGGCGCCAAAGAUGACCCAAAAAUCCACAUUCUUAAAAGUCUUUUUGGCCACUGCAGGAGUACAGAGUACUGCAGGAUACACACACAUACACACACACACACACACACACACACACACACACACACACACACACACACACACACACACUCAGAGUCUGUUUUUUAGCACCUGCAAAAACAUGCUGUUUACAUAUUUGACAAGAAUGCAGAGGCUUCCUUUUGCCCCUGAAAAAAAUCAGAUUUCAAACACAACUUGACUGUUCAUUUCUCCAAAAGACAACCAUGAAGCUCCAUCCAAACCUGAAGCAGAUAGUUGGUGCAUGUGUACAGUAACCUGAGGGGAGUGAGGUGACUAUUUCUGAGGAGAACAUGAGCAGUGAAGAUUCAGCUUGGAGCUAGAACAGGGACGUGCACAUGAUUAUACAGGGGCAGGGGCUCAAGUUUUUUCCAGUCAUUUAUACAAUAUGGAAAUUAAUGUGAAAUUAAAACACAAAUAUGUGUGAUGAACUGUUUUUAAAACUUAAACUUCAAAUAAAAAUUGUAAACUUCAAAACAUAUGCAAAUUUUUAACAAAGAACAUAGUAAUUUACCUCUAUUUACAUCAAAAUGCAGGCAAUGGCCCAGGCGUUCUUUGUAAAAUUAUUUACAAAACACUGUAUAGUCUCACAAAUGUCACUUUUUAUUUAUGCCACUACAAAAAAACAUGAUGUAAAUGAUGCAUGAUGUAAAACAUGAUGUAAAAAACUUGUGUAGAUCCUCCUCUAUGUCAGUCCAUGUGUAAUUUUUCCAUAAUUCUUUGUUUUUUGCAGCAUUUUUGUUAGUGUAACUGCAGAUUGUGCUGACAGUGUCUAUGGCACAAAAAAAAAAAAAAAUUAAAAUGCCUCAACAUGAACCCCUGGUGGUCUCUGAGGGUGAAACCUGCUAACUGCUGCAGCUCUGUCAGCUUCAGUCUCCCAUGCAGAGCUCUGAGCGCAUGUGUGGCUCUGCACCCUUAGCAGCGUUGCUAACUCCUCAGUAAGGAAAGCCUGCUUCAUGUCAGAGUCUCUAAACUCCAGAAGAAGUCGAUAAAAGUCCCUUUCUUUCUAAAAAAAAGUCGUUAGGGUGUCUGAAAAGUCAUUGAAUCUAACAACAAAGUCGCUAGGUUUGCAACUACGUGUCCCAGACUGCAUCCCUGCUGAGAGUCCCUCCCUCCCUUCUCAUGUUGCAGGAAGAACGUAAGCGCCCGCCCCUUGUCAAUCAGUCACCAUAUAAUUUUGGAUUGGUUGUUGUGGUGAAGUUUUCCACCAAUAGGAGAGAUGUUGUGGUGUGUUUUUUUUUUCUUUUGGCAAGCCUUUUCCGCCUGUAAGACCUGUCGCUAAUGUCUGCAUGCUAUGUUUUCCUGUCUCAUACAGCGCGAUCGAGCGCCGAACAUGAUCAAAAUAAGCAGAAAAAAAGUAUCGCGGACAUAAUUUAUCAUAACUCUGGUUUUAUUUGGCCUAUCAACACAAUUUAAAAACUGGUAUAUAGGUUGAGGUCCUCACUUUUGAGAUAAGUUGAAACGGAGAGUCAACGAGGCUCCGUCUUGCAGCUACAUCCGGUUAAAUAUGUCAUGUGACUUGAACGCACACAUAGACACACACACACGCACACACACACACACACACACACACACACACACACACACACACACACACACACACACACACACACUCAGAGUCUGGUUUUUAGCACCUGCAAAAACAUGCUAUUUACAUAUUUGACAAGAAUGCAGAGGCUCCUUUUGCCCCUGAAAAAAAUCAAAUUUCAAACACAACUUGACUGGUCAUUUCUCCAAAAGACAACCAUGAAGCUCCAUCCAAACCUGAAGCAGGCAGUUGGUGCAUGUGUACAGUAACCUGAGGGGAGUGAGGUGAGUGCUUCUGAGGAGAGCAUGAGCAGUGAAGAUUCACCUUGGAGCUAGAACAGAGACAUGCACAUGAUUAUACAGGGGCAGGGGCUCAAGUUUUUUCCAGUCGUUUAUACAAUAUGGAAAUUAAUGUGAAAUUAAAACACAAAGUAUUAAUAGAAAGGUAAUGACUGUCCUGUGUAGGUGACAGUGAUAUCCAAUAGGCUAGGCACUCACGAGGCUGGCUGUGGCAAGUGUAAGUGAAAGCAACACGCACUGGCAGGAAGAACAGCAAACGCCGAUGAAGGAAAAGGGUCUUUGCAGUGAUGGGCGUUAACAGAGAGGGCAAUGGCCAGAGGACACAAAUGGGACGGGGAGGCAGCACGUUGGGGGGGGGGGGGGAGAGACGCGACACAGCUCGGGCCCGCCAGUGCCCCAACGGGGUCCUAGUUAGGGCCCGAGCGUAGCUGCUAAGCAGCUGCGAGAGCCCUAUUAUUCCCCAAGUGGUUUUUCUUUGUUUCUUUUUUCUUUUUCCUCCCCUUUGAACUGGAAAAUGGCCCACUUCCCACUGGCGAAAACUCAGGAAAUUUGGCAGGACGACCGGGCCUGGUGAAAAAUUUGAUAUUCCGAAGUCGCCCAAACAAGAAAAUGCAAAAUGGCUCCAUAGCGCCCCCUAAGGUGAAAAUUCACACUAUUGACUGUCACGCCUGUACGCUUUGUCAAAAUGACACAAAAAUUGACACACACAUGUAUCUCAAUAAGAUCUACAAAAAAGUCAGUGCGGGCGUAUCUGUCAAAUGUACGGUUAAAGGGUUAUUUCGCAUUUUUUGCCGAUCCGCACACAUUGGAAUUUCGCUAACUCCUCCGAAGGCUUUCGUUCCACCGGCACCACAUUUGCUCAGGCCAAUCUACACCCCAUGGCCAUUAAAAGUUAUUCAAAUCAUGACGCUGCACCCCACGGUUUAGGUUCUAGGGGGCGCCAAAGAUAACCCUAAAAUCCACAUUUUUAAAAGUCUUAUAACUUUUUAUUUUUGCCCUCACUGGCCUCCAAGUUUUCUAGGAUGAUGCAAUGUCCAGCCAUCAACACAUGUGUGAAGGAAUUUUUACUCCCCAAAAGAGCGCCCCCCCAUGGCAGGAGAAAAAAGUCCAUUUUUUCUUGUCCCCUAAGGUGAAAAUACACAUUGUUGACUGUCACGCCUAUACGCUUUGUCAAAAUGACACAAAAAUUGACACACAC